AUGGCCGGCCCAGCCCACGAAUUUUUUCUUCCAAAAUCAACAUACAGUCACACCACGCACACAUCAGCCAAAUCCCUAGCUUUCCUUCGUACGCAUUCGUUCCCCAUGCCGGUCAAUAUCCGCGCCGCCGCCUCCACACCGGCCGAUCUCCGCGCCGCCGCCUCCACGCCGGUCGAUCUCCACGCCUCCGCCCCCACGCCGGUCGAUCCACACGCCUCCCACCGCCGCCCGACGACGACCGGGGCUUCCUCCAAUCGAUCCCCACCCCGCCCACCACCGCCCAACGCCAUCGAUCUUGCCCCUCCGGCCGUGGUGAAGCACUCCCCAGAGGCACUGCUGCUCGUGGUGUCCAACCCCGUCGACGUCCUCACCUACCUCGCCUUGAAGCUUCCAGGGCUUCCUCCAAUCGAUCCCCAUCCCGUCCCACCGCCGCCCAAUGCCAUAGAUCUUGCCCCUCCGGUCGUGGUGAAGCACUCCCUGGAGGCACUGCUGCUCGUGGUGUCCAACUCCGUCGACGUCCUCACCUACCCCGUCGACGUUCGAGGUGAGCGGCGUCAUCUGCUCUGGUACCAACCUCGAUGUCUCCAGGAUCUGGCCGCCACAGUCGAUGCAGCAGCUAGCAGCAAGGCCCAUUGUCAUCACCGCGCAUCCCAGGUUCAUCUGCUUGCUGCUGUUUCGGCCAUCGCUGAAACCAACCAGGAGUUAGUGGCCUCAAAGCACCAAGCUCAAGCGCCUCUCCUUCAUCAGGUAAAAUGUCAACCUGAAAAUCGUCUAGGAAGCAGGGUACAUCCCCAAGAGCCUCAAUUGCAGGUAAAGAUAAUAAAAAACAACUCUGUAACUUUCUAAGCAACACACGAGUAGAAAAUUGUUGUAUGCAGAAGUGAUGCUAGACAUGCUUGUGUUUUUUGUGUAUAUUAAUCCGACGGAACUAUAUGACCCUAAUGAUGGGUCUUGGAUGCACUACUUUAACCUAAAAUUUAACCUGAAGAGCAUCUUAUUUGUGCCCUGUUUCCAGAAUAUUUUAAAUAUCUGAAUGUUAUGACAAAUGAAAUCAAACCAUUUCUUGUACCACUGGUGGUUUAAUGUCUCCAUUGUUCCCAUUCGAGUGGCCUCAUAGUUUUCUGAGCAAGAAAUAUGAUCUGGAGAAGCAAAUGCCAAAUUCAUCUGUUCGGACUGAAGUUGCAAAAGUAACUAGAAGUGAUCAUUUUUUCUGUGCACCAGCUCUCUUCUAGUAGAACAAAAUCUAUACUGCUGGUUUUUCAUGUUUGUUUGCAGUUAGACAAUUAUCACUAUAUAUUUAUAUAAAUGUAUAUUGAUACUUCUUAUAUUUAUAUUAAGGACCCCUGGGUUCAUAGUUACUGUACACCUUCUACUCAAUAUUUGACAGAGUAAGAAAAGAUUGUUGAUAAAUAUGUUGCUCUGAACCUUGGCUUAUUAAGUGGCGGAGCUUUGACAGGGCGAACCUGGGCACCCCAGGUCAUUUACUUAGAAGAUGAGCACUCCACCAGGCUGUUUGUAGUAAACAACUUUGGCGAUGCUCACGACAGGCAGUGACGCUAUGUGAUGGUGUCGAGCGUUGUUUAGGAAAGCAGAAC
rnacentral:rRNA from 1 species